rnacentral:misc_RNA from 1 species
AACUUUUGGCAACGGAUCACUUGGUUCUGGCAUCGAUGAAGAACGCAGCGAAAUGCGAUAAGUAAUGUGAAUUGCAGAAUUCUGUGAAUCAUCGAAUCUUUGAACGCACAUUGCGCCCCUUGGUAUUCCGAGGGGCAUGCCUGUUCGAGCGUCAUUAUAACCCCUCAAGCUCAGCUUGGUGUUGGGGCCUGCCGCACGGGCAGCCCUUAAAAUCAGUGGCGGUGCCAUCUGGCUCUAAGCGUAGUAAUUCUUCUCGCUAUAGAGUCCCGGUGGAUGCUUGCCAUUAACCCCCAAUUUUCUAUGGUUGACCUCGGAUCAGGUAGGGAUACCCGCUGAACUUAAGCAUAUCAAUAAGCGGAGGCU